CAGUCGCCGCGGGAAUACGUAGGCGGCAAGCGUUGUCCGGAAUUAUUGGGCGUAAAGGGAGCGCAGGUGGGACGGUAAGUCCGUCUUAAAAGGCAGGGGCUCAGCCCCUGUAAGGGAUGGAAACUAUCGAUCUUGAGUGCCGGAGAGGAAAGCGGAAUUCCCAGUGUAGCGGUGAAAUGCGUAGAUAUUGGGAAGAACACCAGUGGCGAAGGCGGCUUUCUGGACGGCAACUGACACUGAGGCUCGAAAGCCAGGGGAGCGAACGGGAUUAGAUACCCCCGUAGUCCCUGUCUCUAUACAC
rnacentral:rRNA from 1 species